UACGUAGGGUGCAAGCGUUGUCCGGAAUUAUUGGGCGUAAAGAGCUCGUAGGCGGUUUGUCGCGUCUGCCUGUGGAAAACGCGAGGCUCAACCUCGCGCCUGCAGUGGGUACGGGCAGACUAGAGUGCGGUAGGGGAGAUUGGAAUUCCUGGUGUAGCGGUGGAAUGCGCAGAUAUCAGGAGGAACACCGAUGGCGAAGGCAGAUCUCUGGGCCGUAACUGGACGCUGAGGAGCGAAAGCCGUGGGGAGCGAACAGG
rnacentral:rRNA from 1 species